ensembl:lncRNA
CAGGGGCGGAUCCCGGGCCGGUGCCAGUGCCGGUGCCGGGGGNNNNNNNNNNNNNNNNNNNNCGGCGUGGUGCGCUCGGGCCGGGGGCAGCUGGGGAGCCGGAAUGCAAGCGGCUGUGCAGGCUGCUGGACUCCAUCCCAGGGGAGGCUGCUGCCCAGCUCAUGGACUGUGCCAUGGCCCUGGAUCCCAGGCACAAACUCCUCCCUGCCUCUGCUCCCUGGCCUGCAAAGGCAAAGCAGAAUUCCCUGGUUUUGGAAAACCCUGGGAGCAAAGGCAUUUCCCAGCCCUGCCCGAGAUGUGUUGCUGGAGAGUCUGGCCACUUCAGUCACAUCCUGGGCUUCUAGGAAAGGAGGGGAGCAGAGGAGCAGCUCUGCUUUCUCAUCUCCUGCUGGAUCCUGCCCUGCCCACCCUGGGCACCAGUCCCUGCACCUCCACACCUGCCCAAAAUGCCUCUGCUCCUCAGGAGAUCACAGCUGGUCUGAAAAGGACCAGGAAAGGCUGAUUUCACCUUCGGGUACCUCAGAAUUCAUAUUAAAAGGACAAGGAAAGGCUUAUUUCAUGUUUGGGUAGUUCAGAAUUUGCUUUAAAAGGACAAGGAAAGGCUGAUUUCAUGUUUAGCUCAGAAUUUGUUUAAAAAAAGACAAGGAAAGGCAGAUUUCCUAUUUAGGUACCUCAGAAUUUGUUUUAAAAGGACAAGAAAAGGCAGAUGUCAUAUUUAGCUCAGAAUUGGCAAGAAAAGGCAGAUUUCAUGUUUAGGUAGUUCAGAAUUUGUUCUGAAAGGACAAGAAAAGGCAGAUUUCAUAUUUUAGUUCAGAAUUUGUUCAUGAAGGACAAGGAAAGGCUGAUUCCAUGUUCAGGUAGUUCAGAAUUUGUUCUUUGUACCUCAGAAUUUGUUUUAAAAGGACAAGGAAAGGCAGAUGUCAUAUUUAGCUCAGAAUUGGCAAGAAAAGGCAGAUUUCAUGUUUAGGUAGUUCAGAACUUGUUCUGAAAGGAUAAGAAAAGGCAGAUUUCAUAUUUAGUUCAGAAUUUGUUCAUGAAGGACAAGGAAAGGCUGAUUCCAUGUUUAGGUAGUUCAGAAUUUGUUCUGAAAGGACAAGAAAAGGCCGAUUUCAUGUUUAGGUAGUUCAGAAUUUGUUCUGAAAGCACAAGAAAAGGCAGAUUUCAUGUUUUAGACUGGUUAAGUUGGGCUGGCCUUGGUCCCAGUCCUCACCUGGGGCUGGGCCAGAGCUUGUGUUGACUCCAGAGGUUCUCCUGACCCCCCUGGAAAAUGCUCCUCUGGAAAAUCCUCCCUGUGCAGGGCCCUGGCAGGAGUGGGAGGACACCAGUUUUUGUUUUGAAGUGGCUUUGCAGCUGUGAAGACCAGGAAAAAAUCCCCUUGAAGGUUGCAUUUAAAUCCCCAAAAAAUCUGUUUAAAAAGGCUUGACCUGGUCCCCCAGCAGGCUUUUAUUGGCACAGAUCUAAGGGCAGGUUAAUUAACCCCUAAAGGUUAAUUUUGGGGGUUUUCAGGCUGCAGAAUCCUCGGGCAGAGGUGUUCUGCACUCCCUGAACCCUCCCCAUGUUGUGUGUGGAGCUGGAUGAGCGCUGAGUUGAGAUAUUCUCAUUAAAUAAAUGAGGAUCACUUAAAUACUGAGGUUCA